GAGUGAGUGAGUGUAUAAACAAGAAGGCAAGUCAUCAAUAUCCCCCCGCAAUUGUAUAAUACUCUUCAUGAUUGUGUCAACUAGUUAUGACUAUGUCAA